CCGCAGGCUCACGCCGUAAACAGUCAACAUGGCGGCGGCGGCGGCAACGGCACCCGGGGCCUUGGGUAUCUUGCAGGCCGGCCGCGCUCGCUUGGUGGCCGCUUGCUGUGCGCGGCUUGGCCCUGGGUGGAGGCUGUCCGGCUCCUGGACGGUCCCGCGGGUCGACCCGGCGACCUGGGCUCGGGGCUGGACACCCGCGGCCGGGGGGGCGGCCUGGCGGAGGGGCUACAGCUCUGAGGUGAAGACGGAGGACGAACUGCGGGUGCGGUAUCUGGAGGAGGAGAACCGAGGAAUUGUGGUGCUUGGAAUAAACAGAGCUUAUGCCAAAAAUUCAUUGAGUACAAAUCUUAUAAAAAUGCUUUCAAAAGCUGUGGAUGCUUUAAAAUCUGAUAAGAAAGUACGGACCAUAAUAGUCAGAAGUGAAGUCCCAGGGAUAUUCUGCGCUGGUGCUGACCUUAAGGAAAGAGUCAAAAUGAAUUCCAGUGAAGUUGGUCCUUUUGUCUCCAAAAUAAGAGCAGUGAUUAAUGAAAUCGCUAAUCUUCCAGUGCCAACCAUUGCAGCAAUAGAUGGACUCGCUUUAGGUGGUGGACUUGAACUGGCUUUAGCAUGUGAUAUAAGAGUAGCAGCUUCUUCUGCAAAAAUGGGCCUGGUUGAAACAAAGUUGGCAAUUAUUCCUGGUGGAGUACGCGGGCCUCUCACUGUUGUGGCCUGUCCUGUUGAGGAGCACAGGCUCCGGACGCGCAGGCUUAGCGGCCAUGGCUCACGGGCCCAGCCGCUCUGCGGCAUGUGGGAUCUUCCCGGACCGGGGCACGAACCCAUGUCCCCUGCAUCGGCAGGCGGACUCUCAACCACUGCGCCACCAGGGAAGCCCUUUUUUGUUGCUUUGAUUGGUUGAGUUCCACUGUCUUGUCUCUGAGUUCCCUGAUUCUUUUUUCUACUUCAUCUAGCAUGUUGUUGAACCCCUCUAUUGUAUUUUUCAGUCCAGUUAUUGUAUUCUUUAACUUUGUCACUUUUGUUUGCACUGUCUUAAAUGUCUCUUUGUGGAAAUUCCUUUUUGUUCAUGCAUUCUUUUCCUGUCCUCAGUGAGCAUUUUUAUGACUGUUAUUUUGAACUUCUUUUCAUAUAAAUCAUUUGUUUUUGUUUUGUUAAGAUCUUUUUCUGAGGUUUUAUCUUGGCCUUUUUUGGGGAAUAUAUUCCUAUGUUUCUUUAUUUUCCUGAUUCUCUGUGUUAGUUUUUAUGCAUUAGAUAAAACAGCUAACUCUCCCAGUCUUGGAGAUGAACCUUAUUGUUCAGCCCUGCCCUAGCUCUUUAUUGUCUGUCAAACCUUUGGUUUUGUGCGAGUAUCCUGUUUUAUUCUAAGUGGCUGUCAGUAGUUGAGGGUGUGCCAGGACCUGUCUGUGUCUCAGAGGGGAGGACCUCAGCAUCUGGAUUCAGGCUGAUUGGAAGCCAGACCCUUAGGCAGCAGCUUUUAAGCGUACGAACCCUUCUUUCGAAGUCUGUGGGUCCCUGCUAGCAGAGGUUUCUGCCGAGGAGUUUGAAGUUGAAAUUUGACCUUCAGAGAAUAUAUUCUAUGGCUAGUAUGUCUGACCUGAUUUUUCCAGGGGCACGCAGCGACUGCCACGUGCCAUUGGGAUGUCCCUGGCCAAAGAGCUCAUCUUCUCUGCACGUGUGCUCGAUGGCCAAGCAGCCAAAGCAGUGGGCUUGAUCAGCCAUGUUCUGGAACAGAACCAGG